rnacentral:lncRNA from 10 species
UUCAGCCUCGCUCGGCCCUCAGGGAGACCAUGAAAAGCAGCAGCGAGGGGGCCCGCACAGACAGAAAUGGCUGGAGCUAUGGAGGAUGGCUGAUGCCCACCCUGCGGGUUACCAUGAUUCCCAACCUUGGGGACUUAUUAGAAUAGUAAGAGUUAAAGACAUUGCCAGCCCCAGACACCAGUUAACUCAGUUUCCCACAAUGCGUGGAGCUCAAUAGUUUUCAAAGCCUCAGGUGAUUCUACUGUGCUGCUCAGACCUAGGACCACCUGCAGAAAUUCCAUCCUGGUCCUGCGACCUCGCACCGAUUCCUGACGGAGCACCCACUCCUAGGAGGCGGUUAUCCAGCAUUUGAGGAAGCUGCCUUCCAUACCA